rnacentral:rRNA from 1 species
GUGGGGAAUUUUGGACAAUGGGCGCAAGCCUGAUCCAGCGACACCGCGUGGAGGACGAAGGCCUUCGGGUUGUAAACUCCUUUUGGAGGGGAAGAAUAAAUUGACGGUACCCUCAGAAAAAGCCACGGCUAACUACGUGCCAGCAGCCGCGGUAAUACGUAGGUGGCGAGCGUUACUCGGAAUUACUAGGCGUAAAGCGUAUGUAGGUGGUUAGAUAAGUCUAUGGUGAAAUUUCCUGGCUUAACUGGGAAGGGACAUAGAUACUAUCUGGCUUGAGGGUGGGAGGGGGAGACGGAAUUCCUGGUGUAGCGGUGAAAUGCGUAGAUAUCAGGAGGAACACCGAUGGCGAAAGCAGUCUCCUGGCCCAAUACUGACACUGAGGUACGAAAGCUAGGGUAGCAAACAGGAUUAGAAACCCCAGUAGUCC